CUACAUAGCUUUUUCCUUAUUUCCUAAUUAGUUGUCUAGGUAACUGCUGCUUACCUGGUAGACCCACGGCAAAGGAAAUGUUCCUCCAGGCAUUAUUCUUCAAAUUUACAUUGUGGUAGUCCGGGGAAGUCAUCUGGUAGAGACAUGGAUGCUCAGAAACCAGCAAUAUUAAUUUCUCCUCCAUUUUUCCAGUUGUUGUGCUUGUUGACACGUCGUUGUAACAAAAUGACUGUUGUGACAGUUGAUCGGUGUGGAAUUUGCCCCGCCCCUCCUGCACUCUGAUUGGUUAGCUGACUAGAAAGUGACAGUGAUGAGUGCAGCGUUUUAUCCAAAGUUGAACAUUCUUCAACUCUCGGCGCAAGAAAAAAAACGCCCGAACGCUCAGCGCUCAGCACGAAAAAGACGCUCAGCGCUCGGCACGCUCCUGGCGUUUUAAAAAACGCGGCGCUCCCAUUGAGAACAACUGAAAAAACACGCUAGCCGCGGGGAAAAACGCUUUGGUGGACACAGGGCCCUAGGCGCUUUUUCGGUUGUCCUCAAUG